GAAAAGUGGGGGGGGGGGGGGGGAGGGGGCGCUGCUGGCGUCCACCUGAAAGAAAGAACCGCACUCACUCACUCACUAAUACCCGUGAUUCUCAGGACAAACUUCGAAUCCCGUCCACCAGCGGACGGGGUGAUUGGUCGCAAAAAAAUGGGAUGCUUUGAUGCGAAGCAGUAACUCCUGAAAAGUCACACAUUCCCCAAACAAGCUUCGGAUUAGAAAUUACCCUAAGUCGAGCGCUGGAGAUUUCGAAAGCAAAAUCUCCAAAGUACUCUCGGAGUUCUGCGUUAACGUUUUUUUGCCAAAAGAUAAACAGUUCUGGUCGCAGAUCCUUGUUUCUACCGUUCGGAAAACUAUUGCUACUUUCGUAGAGGGUUUGUCGAGAAAAUCCCCGAUACUUAGAUGCUCGAUAGUUGGAGCGCUUUCGCGACUGACAAACGCUGACGGCUGCAAAGGGGACUAGAUGCUUGAUGGCCGUUUCGCCUCAAAAACCCAAAAACGUUAUCGUGGAUUUCUUAGUUUUAGGGCUAGGACGCCUUUCCGGAGAAGUCGUAGUUAGCAACUGUUUCUUGGAUCUUGCAGGAGGAGAAUCGAGUCCGAUGUUUGCUUCGAAUCGAUUUCGGGGAUUGCGCUCGCUUGGGGAGCUUCUAUAUGCUUUCGCUAAAGUUGAUUCCAGAAGCUUAUAAAACUUUCAUAUGUCUUCCGUAAACUGUGGGUGCAAAGCUUACAAAUUCGGUCUGACAGCCUGGGAGACUUACUCUCACAGCCAACUCGCAGGUUUUCCUUUGCCUCUGUCAGAGAUGCUGUGGGAGUCCACAACCAAAGCAAGCGAGCACUUACAUAAAUGUAUGCAGCGCACACUGGGUGGACUGUCUGGGCUAGUCUGCUAGGUUGAUGAUGUUCUGGAGCCAGCCAGACUUGACAUGACGGGAGGUUGAAUGCUGUUUUAGAGAGGCUAGAGAAAGCCAAUAUAGCCCUCAACUUAGAGAAAUGUGUAUUUUUCAGGAUCGAGUAGAAUUCCUUUUUCAUUCAAGUAAAAAAAAAAACAAGUUUGAUCCCUCUAAGCUGUGAGAGCCUACUGACUUGGCAGAGUUGAGAAGAUUCUUAGAAAUGGUUAACCAUUUGGGGAAAGUAUGUCGUCAAUCCUGCAGAUAUGACGAAGCCCCUGCGUGAUCUCCUUGAACAAGGACAGAGCAUGGUUAUGGGAUGAGCCACAACAGAGAUCGUUUAAUAACAUAAAGAAUGCACUCAGUAAAGCCCCUACUCUAGCGACAUAUGACCAGUGAAGGAAACCAAGAUCUCUGCGGAAACAUCCUCGUAUGGGCUAGGUGCUCCGUCCCUAAUAAAGAUGUACUUUGCUUGAUAUUUAAGUCUUCGGCAGUCUCUCUUUGCAUGUUCCCAGAGUUAACAGUUUAUAUAUCAGGCUAAACAUUCAUAUAAGUUUCUCAUAGUAUAAAGAAACUCCCCUCCCCAUUGACCGCCAAAGCGGGUCAUUCUCAUAGUCAAAUCCUAUUUCCCACAUGCCUAAUAUAUAGAUUUAGGCACUGCCUAAAAGCGGAGCCAGCAUGCAAUAAUUUUAGCCAUAUUAUAAUACCUAUAUAUGUAUGUAUAUAUGUAAUGUGUGAGUGAAGCCCUUCAUAGAAAAGUGCUUGAUGCACAGGUGUAGAGUGGAAUAUGUGUAUGUAUAUUUUUUUAUUGUUGUUUAACCCGGAAAAACCUGUUGGGUGUAUAUUGGAGGUAUCAUCCAAUAGGGAACAUUGAAGAAUUGAAAAUGAAUUAUAGUUUUUUUUACAGUAAAAUGGGUGCUUUUUAUUCUCUUUAUUAUUUAAAACCAUAUCAGCACACAACGCGUUUCUAUACAUUAGCAUAUCGUUUUUGCCAGUAAAUGUGCUCCAUACUUGCCUAAACUGUCAAAAUUCCCUUUCUUCCUUUCACAUUGCACUACUACUAGAUUUUCUUGAUUUUUAUAAUUUUCUCUCAGUUGAAGGGUAAUAAAAGUUAUUUGGUAGAAAUUA